rnacentral:rRNA from 1 species
CCUACGGGGGGCUGCAGUGAGGAAUAUUGGUCAAUGGACGCAAGUCUGAACCAGCCAUGCCGCGUGCAGGAAGACGGCUCUAUGAGUUGUAAACUGCUUUUGUACGAGGGUAAACGCAGAUACGCGUAUCUGUCUGAAAGUAUCGUACGAAUAAGGAUCGGCUAACUCCGUGCCAGCAGCCGCGGUAAUACGGAGGAUUCAAGCGUUAUCCGGAUUUAUUGGGUUUAAAGGGUGCGUAGGCGGUCGGAUAAGUUAGAGGUGAAAUCCCGAGGCUCAACUUCGGAAUUGCCUCUGAUACUGUUCGGCUAGAGAGUAGUUGCGGUAGGCGGAAUGUAUGGUGUAGCGGUGAAAUGCUUAGAGAUCAUACAGAACACCGAUUGCGAAGGCAGCUUACCAAGCUACUUCUGACGUUGAGGCACGAAAGCGUGGGGAGCGAACAGGAUUAGAUACCCGUGUAGUC